CGGAUUGCAGUCUGCAACUCGAGUGCAUGAAGCUGGAAUCGCUAGUAAUCCGCGGAUCAGCAUGCCGCGGUGAAUACGUUCCCGGGCCUUGUACACACCGCCCGUCACACCAUGAGAGUCGGGAACACCCGAAGUCCGUAGUCUAACCGCGAAGGGGGGCGCGGCCGAAGGUGGGUUCGAAUAAUUGGGGUGAAGUCGUAACAAGGUAAC
rnacentral:rRNA from 1 species